rnacentral:tRNA from 1 species
AGCUCAGCAGGACAGAGCAAUUGCCUUCUAAGCAAUCGGUCACUGGUUCGAAUCCAGUA